CCAGCCGGCCAUAGCGUGCGGGUCCGACCUGGACUCAUUCCGAACCCAGACUCGAAAGAGGGGGAGAAGUCAAACCGCGCGUCGUCAUCAUGUUACUGAGCUCCGAAAGGGCUCGGGAAGUGGUGAUGCCGGCACCC
rnacentral:rRNA from 1 species